rnacentral:rRNA from 1 species
UACGGGGGGGGCAAGCGUUGUUCGGAAUUACUGGGCGUAAAGCGUGCGCAGGCGGUUUUGUAAGUCUGUCGUGAAAGCCCCGGGCUCAACCUGGGAAUUGCGAUGGAGACUGCAAGGCUUGAAUCUGGCAGAGGGGGGUAGAAUUCCACGUGUAGCAGUGAAAUGCGUAGAUAUCGGGAGGAACACCUGUGGCGAAGGCGGCCCCCUGGUUGGAUACUGACGCUGAUACGCGAAAGCGUGGGGAGCAAACAGG